CGCCACCAUGAAAAUUGAGAUAAUGCUGGGGAAGGCUGGAGGAGGGGAAGCAAUAUAAUCGCAUUUCAGAUUCUGGAGUUUGGUGGACCAGGUUGGAAUAUCUUCUCUAUCACUUACUGGCUUUGUGACCUUGAUGUAGUUACUUUCUUUCACAUUCUCUCUGUUCUCCAUCUGUAAAAUGGGAUCAUAGCUCGCAACUUAUUAGAAUUGUUUGAGAUUUCACUUUGUUUCUUGUCAUAAUAGGAGGUAACUCACUGAGACUGCAGUGAGCCAGACACUACUAGGUGAUUUUCUUGCAUCAUCAUUAAACUCUCAAUAUUAUCUACAAGGUAGAUUCUAUCAUGAACUCUGUUUUACAGGCUCACAAAAUAGAGGUUAAAUAACUUGCCCAAGGUCAUAUGGCCAUUAGAGAUGGAGCUGGGAUCUGAAUCCAGUAAAUCUGGUUUGAGAGGUAGCUGUGACAAGCUCAGGUUCUCAAAGGUAGUUCGUAGUGCUCAAAAUUUCCAUCAGUCCCCCCAUUCUUCUGUUAAAUACAAUCUCAUGUAAAGUGCUAUGCAAAUACGCCUUUAGAACCAACCCCCAUCCUUCCCUUUCCAAACAGGUUGUGCCAGUGAGUUCUUACACAUACAGAAGUUUUGGACCUGUCACUGCCACAGACUAAAACAAAUACAGCGUGGGGUGUGUGGAGCAUGCUGUCAGGCCCACAGGAAGAGGACAGCAGGGGUGAUGGAGGAGAAUCUGAAGCUCUAAUACACAGCGAAGUGUGAGGAAACUUACUGAAUUACCCGUACCUACCGCUACAAGGAGGACAGCUGCGUUGUAAAUGUCCACCGCUGAGAGGGACCCCAGGCUGAGUAAUGAAGGGGAAGGAGGAGAGUGGAGAAGGUGAUUUUAUGGUGGAAGGAACCUCCUUCCAGACCCACAAGCCAUCUCAUACAAGAAACAACCCUUUAUUCUCACCUAAUUCAGCUUGUUCCUGGGGUCAUGAUCUUGGGAUCAUGUGGGAUCGAGCCCCUGGAGGGGGGCGCUCUGCGCUCAACAGCGAUUCUGCUUGGGAUUCUCUUUUCCUACCCCACCCCCACCGAUUAUUCACCUUGUAUUCGGUGCCACCGCACUCUCCUUAGUGACAUUUCCCAGCCAUGAACAGCCUUCUCGGCACCGAUUUCUCUUCACCCGGAGACUCUCCCCCAUCCCCACUUUCUCAUAUUGCUGCUUUCUGCCUGGAUGCCCACACGAGAAACCCACUGCAAAAUCCGCGGCCAGCUUUCUUGCCUACAGUUUCGGUACCAGUGACCUCCGAUGCAGGGAAAUCGUCCUUCCUUUUGUUUUGAACAUCUUCUGGCUUACCCUAUUCCGCUUUGCAAUACUUCCUACCACCACCGGCUCCGCCCAGCCUUCCCGGUGGCUGCCUCGGUUUCCCCUGGCCAGCCGCACAUGAGCCCAUGGUCUGCAACGCCCCGGGCACCUUCCCCUGGCCUCCUGCUCCCUGAGGCCUCGGUGUCCCUCCGACAUUUCCUGGACGUUGUGAACUGGCAGCAAGAAUGGAUUCACUGUCUGCUCACAUUCUUAAGGGCAGGAAACCUGACCCACCCCAAAACCAGGCGCUCCAGAGGAAGGGCACUUGCGUUUUCUGGGAGGGCGGGCCUCUGCGAGAGUUAGCUAGGCUG